ensembl:lncRNA
GAGGUGAUGGAGCUGAGGCACCAGGUGCACAGCGUGAGCCACCUGGAAAGUGCCCCUUGGUGCCAGGCUUACUGAGGCCCCAUACUGGCCCAGAGAAUGGGGGUCACCAUCCCAGACCUGCCACUUCCCUCUCCCUCCAGCCCACGCUGCUUAUCUUGAUAGGGGCAGCCCGUGAGUCCAGUGUCUUUCUUCCACCUUGUUCUACCUCCAUGCAAUAAGGGAUGGAUAAAGCCAGAUUGUUCCUCAGCUCUGAAAGAGCUCAACAGCUUUUCAAGGGCGCAGCUGCUCGCACCUGUUGGAAGGCGGGGGUCCCGUUACACACAGGCACUUGGACCUGCGCCCACCCUUCCUCCUGCUCUCCGCCUUUCCAGCCCCGCUCCUGUGGCAGAGAUCUCAAGGUCAUCCGCCAUCCACUGUCUCCCAGAGGGGACAGCAAGUCCUUCCUGGUUCUGAGCAGCCUGCAGGCCCUCGCAGGAAACAGCUAGUAACAUUCUUCACCUUUUCUAAAAAGCCUGCGAAAGGAAGAGAGGCUUUGAUAAUGCAAACAAGAUAAUUACAUACAAUGGAUUUUCCUCUCUGAUCUGCUUAGUUCCUUAAUUUAUUCAGCAAAUAUGUAUUUAGUAUGUGCUGGGCACUGUUUCGGGUGCCACUGCAGAUUUGCUGGUAAAUCAGACAGAGCAAAUUCUUGCUCUCUGGGGUUCACGUUCUGUAGGGACUGGUUUCGGAGGAGGGUAGACUUGAACUGGUGGUUUUCAGUCAUCUUUUAGGUCACAGCUCCCAAUCAAAACGGGAGCAAUUUGUGAGAUUCCUUCUCCCCACACACAACAGAAUCAGAAGUUUUCUAGGACGAUACUUGCUCCAUUUACAUAUAAAGAGCUAAAAAAAUUGCCUUAUUAAGACUGAAAUGAAUUUUUUAAAAUCCCAAAUAAGCAAAAAAAAGCAAAAAGAUUCAGGCAAGAUUUUAGUGACUGCACAGGGAAGGUUUUUGCUGGCAAGGUGCUUGCAGUUCAGACCCGCAAGGUCAGUACUGCCUGCGCGCACUCGUGGGCCUGCAGUCUCCUUUGCUUUAGUCAGUUUCAAAGGCUAAAAUCGUCAUGUGUACAGAGAGCUACUUGUGGCCAGUAAUGAUAAGGUUAUGGUUUGGAAUUGAAAGGUUCCCCAAAGGUCACGUGUUGAAGGCUUGGUCACCAGCCUGCACUGCUGAUGGCAGGUGAUAGAACCUUUCAGAGGCAGGCCCAAGAGGAAGGAGUUUCAGUCCCUGGGGCCUCGAGGUGGAUACUGGGACGAAGCCCCUUCUCUUUCUCUUUCCGCUUCCCGACCACCAUGAAGAGCGCAGCUCAGCUGUGUAACAUGCUCCCUGUGGGAUGUUCCUCAGCACAGGCCCAAGACCACAGGGCUGAGUGACCGUGGACUGAAGCCUCUGGACCAAUGAGCCAAAAUAACCUCUCCUUCUUUCAGAUUGUUUUCUCAGGACCUUGUGCUUUUGCGAGGCAGGCGGCGGAACCACUGAGUUACAUCCCCGGCCCUCAUUCACCUCUUUUGGGCACCAAAUUUAGAACAUAGUGACAACUUUGAGACUGAGAAGUGAACUAUAGCAGCAUUCCUAAUUACAUUUCAGUCACACCAUCUUUGCUGGUUAUGUCCACUUCAAGGCCUACUUCCCAUAGCAAAAUGUGUUUGAAUCCUGGAUGUGUCUUGACUUGUUGAAUUAUAUCGUUGUUUUCUUCCUGAAGCUAUUCAUUUGUGUUCAUUCCAAAUAUCAAUAAGCUCGGUAAAGUACACUAAUGUAAAAUCCCC